UACGAGUGCCUCAAGCGUUAUCCGGAAUCAUUGGGCGUAAAGGGUGUGUAGGUGGUUGUGUUAGUCUUCUGUUAAAUUCUUCGGCUUAACCGGGGACAUGCGGAGGAAACGGCAUAACUAGAGGAUGGGAGAGGUUUGCGGAACUCAUGGUGUAGGGGUGAAAUCCGUUGAUAUCAUGGGGAACACCAAAAGCGAAGGCAGCAAACUGGCCCACUCCUGACACUGAAACACGAAAGCGUGGGUAGCGAAUGGG
rnacentral:rRNA from 1 species